rnacentral:rRNA from 1 species
UACGGAAGGCAGCAGUGGGGAAUAUUGCACAAUGGGCGCAAGCCUGAUGCAGCCAUGCCGCGUGUAUGAAGAAGGCCUUCGGGUUGUAAAGUACUUUCAGCGGGGAGGAAGGCGAUGUGGUUAAUAACCGCAUCGAUUGACGUUACCCGCAGAAGAAGCACCGGCUAACUCCGUGCCAGCAGCCGCGGUAAUACGGAGGGUGCAAGCGUUAAUCGGAAUUACUGGGCGUAAAGCGCACGCAGGCGGUCUGUCAAGUCGGAUGUGAAAUCCCCGGGCUUAACCUGGGAACUGCAUUCGAAACUGGCAGGCUAGAGUCUUGUAGAGGGGGUAGAAUUCCAGGUGUAGCGGUGAAAUGCGUAGAGAUCUGGAGGAAUACCGGUGGCGAAGGCGGCCCCUGGACAAAGACUGACGCUCAGGUGCGAAAGCGUGGGGAGCAAACAGGAUUAGAUAACC